rnacentral:rRNA from 1 species
GACGAACGCUGGCGGCGUGCUUAACACAUGCAAGUCGAACGGAAAGGCCCUGCUUUUGUGGGGUGCUCGAGUGGCGAACGGGUGAGUAACACGUGAGUAACCUGCCCUUGACUUUGGGAUAACUUCAGGAAACUGGGGCUAAUACCGGAUAGGAGCUCCUGCUGCAUGGUGGGGGUUGGAAAGUUUCGGCGGUUGGGGAUGGACUCGCGGCUUAUCAGCUUGUUGGUGGGGUAGUGGCUUACCAAGGCUUUGACGGGUAGCCGGCCUGAGAGGGUGACCGGACACAUUGGGACUGAGAUACGGCCCAGACUCCUACGGGAGGCAGCAGUGGGGAAUAUUGCACAAUGGGCGGAAGCCUGAUGCAGCAACGCCGCGUGCGGGAUGACGGCCUUCGGGUUGUAGACCGCUUUCGCCUGUGACGAAGCGUGAGUGACGGUAAUGGGUAAAGAAGCACCGGCUAACUACGUG